rnacentral:rRNA from 1 species
GACGAACGCUGGCGGCGUGCUUAACACAUGCAAGUCGAACGGAAAGGCCCUGCUUUUGUGGGGUGCUCGAGUGGCGAACGGGUGAGUAACACGUGAGUAACCUGCUCUUGACUUUGGGAUAACUUCAGGAAACUGGGGCUAAUACCGGAUAGGAGCUCCUGCUGCAUGGUGGGGGUUGGAAAGUUUCGGCGGUUGGGGAUGGACUCGCGGCUUAUCAGCUUGUUGGUGGGGUAGUGGCUUACCAAGGCUUUGACGGGUAGCCGGCCUGAGAGGGUGACCGGCCACAUUGGGACUGAGAUACGGCCCAGACUCCUACGGGAGGCAGCAGUGAGGAAUAUUGCACAAUGGGCGGAAGCCUGAUGCAGCAACGCCGCGUGCGGGAUGACGGCCUUCGGGUUGUAAACCGCUUUCGCCUGUGACGAAGCGUGAGUGACGGUAAUGGGGAAAGAAGCACCGGCUAACUACGU